CUACCUACUAAAAUAGGAAUGACUUUUGGCACCCCCAGUCCUUCCUCAGGGAAUCGAGGCUUUAGUAUAUCGUGUUCUCAAGAGAAGACAGACUGAGAACAUGGCUGUUAUUCAGACUGUACGGCUUUUGCAGACAAGUUCAAUUUGUAUUUUGCCGAGAAGGACAUCCAUAUGUUCGACUUUAUGCAGAAAUAGUCCUUGGGGCUGCAGAGGUGGCUCACGGGGUAAGAGCACUUGCUGCUCUUGUAGAGGACCCUGGCUCUACUCUCAGCACCCGCGGAGCAGCUUACAAACCUCACAACUGCCUGUAACUAGUUCCAGGGGGGGGAUGCAACCCCCCGCUUCUGGACCCCUCGGACACCAGGCACACACGUAGCGAACAAACAGGCAAAACACCCAUACACUUGUUUUUGUUUUGUUGUUGUUGUUUCUUUGGGUUUUUUUUGUUUUUGUUUUUUGUUUUUUUCUUUAAACCAGGUGUGAAGAGGGACGCCUUUAAUCCCAGCGCUUGGCAGGUUGAAGCAGGCAAUCUCUUGAGUUCUCGGCCAGCCUAUAUUUGAAAGUGUAAGCAGUCAGAUGUUUUUGAAUGAGCAUAGAGGAAGCUCAACAUUUUGGUUACAGCGGAGUGUAGGAGGAACUAGAAAAGUGGGAAAAGAAAAGCUGAUGGCAGAAAAUUGGGAGGGUUUCUCUCUGUAGUCUUGGCUGUCCUGGACUCACUUUGUAAACCAGGCUGACCUCAAACUUACGAAGAUCCGCUCACCUCUCCGCUCACAUCUUUGUAAGUGCUGGGAUUACAGGCAUGUGCCAUCAUGCCUGGCUUAAAUCUUUUUUUAAAAAAUCAUGUAAAAGAGAGCUUGGAGGCAGAUUGGACAUGGACAAUGGAAGCUCAGACGUUAGAGAAGACAAGCCUCUGGAAUGUGGAGCCCCAGCAUUAAGACAGCCCUUUGGUUUGUUUUUUCUUCACUGUGUGGAAUGACCUACUUCUGGAGCUGAGAACAAAAAAUGAUCGAGGAGCAGGCUUCCAUGUAGGAGAGAUUCUCAUGUUAGCCAACAGGGCAUGGGCUGUCUAGUGGAGAGAUGCAUCAGGCAACGCCUCUGUUCAUCCUCAAAUUCUCAACUUCAGAAAACACUGGGUUCCUGUGAACAACAGUGCCACUCAUCCAUUAUGUGUUUCUAGCCUUCCUUCUGUACCACAGGUGAGAUUAAUCCUGAGAGAACCAGUGUCCACAGUGUGCAGAGGACACACUAUGAAAUGAGGUUUUAAAAAAAAAAUUUUUUUUAAUUCUACACAGAAAUUUUUGGAAGACAAACUGUUAUUACAUCACAGAUCAUUUAAUUCCUCUUUCAUAAUUCAAAACAAUAAAAACAACUCAGAAGCAAAGCUUUUAAAGUUGGACAGACUUUUGGUUAAAAUCUUAAGUCCUGUGUGCGUGUGAGCAUGUGUAGGAGUUAACAUUAGGGGUGUUCCUGGAUCACUCUCCACCUUAUAUGUUGAGUCAAAGUCUCUUGCUGAAACUGGAACUCACUGAUUCAGCAAGUAUAGCUGGACAGCCUGCCCCAGGGAUCCAGUCUCUAUAUCCCAAGUUGUGAUAUUACAGAUGUAUCAUCACAUCUUUUUGGCUCAGAAAGAUCUUUCUCUUCUCACUGAGUCUUCACCCCAGUCCUGGGUUCUACUUAAUAGUAGGUGAACUUGGACAAGAUAUUUACUUUCUCUGUACCUUGAUUUCACCUGCACAGGGGAUAAGGUAGUUCCUACCUCACUAGGAUACUGAGAGGAAAAAAUAAAAAUAUUCUCUGUACAUAGUGAGUACUCAUGAUGAAUAAAGACUUGUAAUCCAAA